UCAACAAUGUUCAUUGUACUCAAAUUGAUACCUAUAAAUAGCAAAAUCAGAGAAACUGAAGUGGUCUUUUAAUUUUUUUCCAGCGCUGUAUAUUCAUCACUAUUCUAUCUUUCAAAAACACUAGCAGUUUUAACAUUAAAAUUUUAUGUCCUGUUAUAUUUAUUGAAACAGACUGACAAGUUUUAAUGUACUAAGAGACCUUUACUAUCAUUAUUCACACAUCACAAACUGAUUAGACGAACGAAUGAACAACACAAACUCAAAUUACAGGAUUUUUAUUUAUUUUCUUGGCAGUGAUUAUUCACAUCCUGGCACUGUUGCAAAACCUCCAGGAGACUAUCACAAACAGUUGAAAUAACUAAAGGUUUUGGCAAACCGGGGGGGUUUUGCCUGCACAUGGAGCCUUGAGAAAUGAACCUUUUCUUAAAUCACUUGGCUGAAAAGCUUUAAAGCUUCAUCAAACCAUCACUAUUUUCCACUAUCAAACAUAUAUAGUAUUUCACAUACAUUUACUAUUUGUAAGUUGCUUAACAAAACAAAUGACACCGCAAUAAUUCCAUGGGCCCAAACAGCUCUAAAACAAAACGUAACCGUAUGGCUUGCACAGCCUUAAAUAGCACCAAACAGGAAGUGUAGUGAUGUCACCUCCUGGCAUUUUGGAGGGAAACCGGACAAUAAAAGUCCCCCCAAACAAACACAAUAGUUUCCCCACUGAGUUAAGACAUGGACAGCACCUGCCACAACAAACAACCACAGAUAAUCUGCCUGCUCUGGACUACUCAGACUUCAAUUCCCAGCAUGCACUCAUACCAGACUCUGCUGAUCAUGUGACACUACAGUGUUCUUGCUCCCCCGGGUUGCUGAUUGUUUCCACCUGGUCUCUCCAGUAUAAAUGCCCCUCAGUUUGUUCUGUAUUAAAAUCUAGUCAGCUAGCUCUUCUACAUUUCCUUUGUUUAUAAACUAUUUUAAUAAACUAUUUUACUGCUUUCUUCA